rnacentral:lncRNA from 1 species
GGUGACUAUGGAGCUAGUGCCUGAUAGCUAUGGAUUUAGAACCUGAUAGAUAAACUUUGGCAGCAAUGGACUUCGUGUCGAUUCCUUAGGUAAAUCCUUAGGAACGAAUGGAUAAAGGAUAGUUGAUUUUUAGGGUAAAACGUUAAGAAAUAAAGAGGAUAAUGGGGAUGGGUAUUUGGGUUGAUUGUUUGAUAAUUGAAUAUAAUAAAUGUAUUAUUGUGGGUUGAAAAUCCUAUAUGCUCACCAGACUCCCAAGCCUGACCCACUCAGUUUUCUUUGCAUUACAUGUAAUGUCACAAGGGUAUUAGUUGAUGGACUUGACGAGAGAUUUUGGAUUAUAGAUCAGUAGUUAUAAAUAACUUCUGUAAGGUCUAUUUUAUAUUGUUUAUGCUUUUGGUCUGCAUCGGAAUAUGACAUCCCAAGGUUUUAUUAUUAAAUAAAAUACAUUCUCUUUGAGAAAUGUUUUGAUAAAUUAUUAUCAUAUCUUUUUUUGGGAACAAACUCCGCAACCAUUUUCUUUAAACGAUUACUCUGAUUUAUGAAACAAAGCAUAAACAAAUCGGUCUUUUCUGGCCGUGAAAUUGGGGAUGUCACAGUUGGUAUUAAGGGAUUAGUUUAAGCGAACUAGGAAUUUGUAGGAUUUCUAGACUUAAACUUAGAAUGCUAAGCAAUGAUUGUGAGAUGAGUGUCUACCAUAUCUUAGACACGAGCACUAGCUUAUUUAGGAAUGAUGCCUAAAAUGCUUUUAUGUGCUAAAUGUUAUAUGUUGCCAUAUAUGAUAUUGUUUGUUUGGAUCUAUGGUCUGUUGCCGACCGGAUCUGGGAACCUUAUGUGUUUAGGAUUCUAAGCGUAUGACUACGAAAUUAGAACUAGCAUGUAAACCUUUCAGAGUGAUAACGAGAUUUAUACGUCUAUCGUAAAUAUAGCUUUCUUAUUUUAAAUUCUCGCCCGGUACACCGAAAGUCUGCUUUGGUGUAUAGAAUGUUAUGGUGACGACUCGUAGAGAAUUGAGUAAAUGGAGGAAAUGAAAGGCUUAUGAUAGUGAAUGACACCUAUUAGAAUAUAUUGUAAGAGUGGUAUCUUGCCUUUAGAGUAUGUCUGAUAAAAUAACGGAACGUCUAGAGUAGUACGGUACGUCUGAAGUACACCUUCGAUUAGCAGGAUGAUGGAACAGUUAGUGUAAUUCUUGAAGUUGUCCCAUCGUCUAGAAUUUCCAUCACCAGCCGAGUUGAAGUAGAAUUGAUGAGUGAAGAUACGCAUGGAAGAAGUCCUAGUAGAGUCUAGGAAAAUUUAUAUGAUUAAUUGGACACAUUCGUAUGUGUUAAAUUGUUUUGUGNUACCUGAUAGAUAAACUUUGGCAGCAAUGGACUUCGUGCCGAUUCCUUAGGUAAAUCCUUAGGAACGAAUGGAUAAAGGAUAGUUGAUUUUUAGGGUAAAACCUUAAGAAAUAAAGAGGAUAAUGGGGAUGGGUAUUUGGGUUGAUUGUUUGAUAAUUGAAUAUAAUAAAUGUAUUAUUGUGGGUUGAAAACCCUAUAUGCUCACCAGACUCCCAAGCCUGACCCACUCAGUUUUCUUUGCAUUACAUGUAAUGCCACAAUGGUAUUAGUUGAUGGACUUGACGAGAGAUUUUGGAUUAUAGAUCAGUAGUUAUAAAUAACUGCUGUAAGGUCUAUUUUAUAUUGUUUAUGCUUUUGGUCUGCAUCGGAAUAUGACAUCCCAAGGUUUUAUUAUUAAAUAAAAUACAUUCUCUUUGAGAAAUGUUUUGAUAAAUUAUUAUCAUAUCUUUUUUUGGGAACAAACUCCGCAACCAUUUUCUUUAAACGAUUACUCUGAUUUAUGAAACAAAGCAUAAACAAAUCGGUCUUUUCUGGCCGUGAAAUUGGGGAUGUCACAGUUGGUAUUAAGGGAUUAGUUUAAGCGAACUAGGAAUUUGUAGGAUUUCUAGACUUAAACUUAGAAUGCUAAGCAAUGAUUGUGAGAUGAGUGUCUACCAUAUCUUAGACACGAGCACUAGCUUAUUUAGGAAUGAUGCCUAAAAUGCUUUUAUGUGCUAAAUGUUAUAUGUUGCCAUAUAUGAUAUUGUUUGUUUGGAUCUAUGGUCUGUUGCCGACCGGAUCUGGGAACCUUAUGUGUUUAGGAUUCUAAGCGUAUGACUACGAAAUUA